GAUGAACGCUGGCGGCGUGCCUAAUACAUGCAAGUCGAGCGAACAGACGAGGAGCUUGCUCCUCUGACGUUAGCGGCGGACGGGUGAGUAACACGUGGAUAACCUACCUAUAAGACUGGGAUAACUUCGGGAAACCGGAGCUAAUACCGGAUAAUAUAUUGAACCGCAUGGUUCAAUAGUGAAAGACGGUUUUGCUGUCACUUAUAGAUGGAUCCGCGCCGCAUUAGCUAGUUGGUAAGGUAACGGCUUACCAAGGCAACGAUGCGUAGCCGACCUGAGAGGGUGAUCGGCCACACUGGAACUGAGACACGGUCCAGACUCCUACGGGAGGCAGCAGUAGGGAAUCUUCCGCGAUGGGCGAAAGCCUGACGGAGCAACGCCGCGUGAGCGAUGAAGGUCUUCGGAUCGUAAAACUCUGUUAUUAGGGAAGAACAAAUGUGUAAGUAACUAUGCACGUCUUGACGGUACCUAAUCAGAAAGCCACGGCUAACUACGUG
rnacentral:rRNA from 1 species